rnacentral:lncRNA from 1 species
ACCAUUGUUUCGGUGUCUGUAAACAUCGAGUAUUCUCCCCAGUCAUCGGUAAAUGUCUGGUCAUUUUUGAUGUCAGUAAACAUCAUCUAUCGAUGUCGGUAAACGUCAAGUUUUUUCUCAGUCAUCGGUAAAUGUCUGAUAAUCCCCCAGCUAGAGAUUCCCAGUAGAGUCAUCGGUAAAUGUCCUAUCUGGUUUCCGGUUGUGAAUAUUUG